GCACUCCCCUUGGUAGCACAAAUACUAAAAUUGGAAUAAUGCAGAGAAGAUUAGCAUGGCCCCUGUGCAAGAAAUAUCUCCUGGUAGCAGAGAGAAAUAUAGAAACAAU
ensembl:snRNA U6 U6 spliceosomal RNA